UGCUCAGAUUGAACGCUGGCGGCAGGCCUAACACAUGCAAGUCGAGCGGUAGAGAGAAGCUUGCUUCUCUUGAGAGCGGCGGACGGGUGAGUAAUGCCUAGGAAUCUGCCUGGUAGUGGGGGAUAACGUUCGGAAACGGACGCUAAUACCGCAUACGUCCUACGGGAGAAAGCAGGGGACCUUCGGGCCUUGCGCUAUCAGAUGAGCCUAGGUCGGAUUAGCUAGUUGGUGGGGUAAUGGCUCACCAAGGCGACGAUCCGUAACUGGUCUGAGAGGAUGAUCAGUCACACUGGAACUGAGACACGGUCCAGACUCCUACGGGAGGCAGCAGUGGGGAAUAUUGGACAAUGGGCGAAAGCCUGAUCCAGCCAUGCCGCGUGUGUGAAGAAGGUCUUCGGAUUGUAAAGCACUUUAAGUUGGGAGGAAGGGUUGUAGAUUAAUCUCUCAAUUUGACGU
rnacentral:rRNA from 1 species